GUCCCCGUAGCGCAGUGAUCGAGCGUUUGUCUGUUUUUUCUAGCGAAUUUUGAUUUAAAGUAGCGAAAGACGUCGGUUCGAAUCCGACCGGGGAGA